UACGAGGGGGGCUAGCGUUGUUCGGAAUUACUGGGCGUAAAGGGCGCGUAGGCGGUGUGUCAAGUCAGGCGUGAAAGCCCCUCGGGCUCAACCUGGGAACCGCGCUUGAGACUGGCACGCUAGGAGUUCGGGGAGAGGGGGGUGGAAUUCCACGUGUAAGCAGUGAAAUGCGUAGAGAUGUGGAGGACACCGAUGGCGAAGGCAGCCCCUGGGUUAACACUGACGCUCAGGCACGAAAGCGUGGGGAGCAAACAGG
rnacentral:rRNA from 1 species